rnacentral:rRNA from 1 species
GUGGGGAAUCUUGCGCAAUGGGCGAAAGCCUGACGCAGCCAUGCCGCGUGAAUGAUGAAGGUCUUAGGAUUGUAAAAUUCUUUCACCGGGGACGAUAAUGACGGUACCCGGAGAAGAAGCCCCGGCUAACUUCGUGCCAGCAGCCGCGGUAAUACGAAGGGGGCUAGCGUUGCUCGGAAUUACUGGGCGUAAAGGGCGCGUAGGCGGACAGUUUAGUCAGAGGUGAAAGCCCAGGGCUCAACCUUGGAAUUGCCUUUGAUACUGGCUGUCUUGAGUACGGGAGAGGUGAGUGGAACUCCGAGUGUAGAUGUGAAAUUCGUAGAUAUUCGGAAGAACACCAGUGGCGAAGGCGACUCACUGGCCCGUUACUGACGCUGAGGCGCGAAAGCGUGGGGAGCAAACAGGAUUAGAUACCCCUGUAGUCC